rnacentral:rRNA from 1 species
GAUGAACGCUGGCGGCGUGCCUAAUACAUGCAAGUCGAACGCUGGAGAUCUAGCUUGCUAGAUCGAAGGAGUGGCGAACGGGUGAGUAAUACAUAAGCAACCUACCCACGAAGACUGGGAUAAUCUCUGGAAACGGGGACUAAUACCGGAUAGGUAAUCGGAAGGCAUCUUCUGGUUAUUAAAGGUUAAAAACACUGGUGGAUGGGCUUAUGGCGCAUUAGUUAGUUGGUGAGGUAACGGCCCACCAAGACGAUGAUGCGUAGCCGGCCUGAGAGGGUGAACGGCCACAUUGGGACUGAGACACGGCCCAGACUCCUACGGGAGGCAGCAGUAGGGAAUUUUCGGCAAUGGGGGCAACCCUGACCGAGCAACGCCGCGUGAGUGAAGACGGCCUUCGGGGUGUAAAGCUCUGUUGUAAGGGAAGAACGGUAGAUAGAGAAUAUCUAAGUGACGGUACCUUACCAGAAAGCCACGGCCAACUACGUG